CGGGCACGGAUGCAAAUACAAAAUGUCCUGGUCCCAGCCAAGUGCAAAUUGGAAAAAUUUAAACAGUCCUCCAGCUAGCACACUGGAAUUUUUGCCCAAGACCUGGAGAGGGGAGUGAAAACAAGAAUAGAGUUGCCUCACAGUGGCUGUGGCACUCCCCAUCUCAGAGGCUUGAGAAAGCACA
rnacentral:lncRNA from 1 species